AACGAACGCUGGCGGCAGGCCUAACACAUGCAAGUCGAGCGAGGCCUUCGGACGUAGCGGCGGAUGGGUGUGUAACGCGUCGGACGGUGGCGUUUUCCUUGGAAUUGUACUGGUUCACUGGGGGUAACACAGGAUGAGUUCCUCGGAGGCAAGAUUUAUCGUAGAAGGAUCGGCCCGCGUUGGUCUAGGUAGUUGGUGGUGUAAUGGCCUACCAAGCAGACGAUCCAUAGCUGGUUAGAGAGGAUGAGCAGCCACACUGGGAGGGAGACACGGCCCAGACUCCUACGGGAAGCAGCGGUAGGGAGUCUUAGACAAUGGGCGAAGCCCUGAUCGAGCCAGGCCGCGAGAGCGAUGAAGGCCUUAAGGAUAUAAAGCACUUUCAGCUGCGAAGAUAAUGACGGUACCAACAGAAGAAGCCCCGGCUAACUCCGUG
rnacentral:rRNA from 1 species